rnacentral:rRNA from 1 species
ACGAACGCUGGCGGCGUGCUUAACACAUGUAAGUCGCACGGAAAGGCCCUGCUUUUGUGGGGUGCUCGAGUGGCGAACGGGUGAGUAACACGUGAGUAACCUGCCCUUGACUUUGGGAUAACUUCAUGAAACUGGGGCUAAUACCGGAUAGGAGCUCCUGCUGCAUGGUGGGGGUUGGAAAGUUUCGGCGGUUGGGGAUGGACUCGCGGCUUAUCAGCUUGUUGGUGGGGUAGUGGCUUACCAAGGCUUUGACGGGUAGCCGGCCUGAGAGGGUGACCGGCCACAUUGGGACUGAGAUACGGCCCAGACUCCUACGGGAGGCAGCAGUGGGGAAUAUUGCACAAUGGGCGGAAGCCUGAUGCAGCAACGCCGCGUGCGGGAUGACGGCCUUCGGGUUGUAAACCGCUUUCGCCUGUGACGAAGCGUGAGUGACGGUAAUGGGUAAAGAAGCACCGGCUAACUACGUG